rnacentral:rRNA from 1 species
UGGGGAAUAUUGCACAAUGGAGGGAACUCUGAUGCAGCGACGCCGCGUGAACGAAGAAGGCUUUCGAGUCGUAAAGUUCUUUUAUAUGGGAAGAUAAUGACGGUAUCAUAAGAAAAAGCCCCGGCUAACUACGUGCCAGCAGCCGCGGUAAUACGUAGGGGGCUAGCGUUGUCCGGAAUCACUGGGCGUAAAGGGUUCGCAGGCGGAAAUGCAAGUCAGGUGUAAAAGGCAGUAGCUUAACUACUGUAAGCAUUUGAAACUGCAUAUCUUGAGAAGAGGAGAGGUAAGUGGAAUUUUUAGUGUAGCGGUGAAAUGCGUAGAUAUUAAAAAGAAUACCGGGGGCGAAGGCGACUUACUGGGCUCAUUCUGACGCUGAGGAACGAAAGCGUGGGUAGCAAACAGG